UGCAGCCCAGUCAAAUUCGGUCCCUGUCCCCCAGUGUCGGGGACCGGCCAUCGGCUGCCACAGCAACCUCCAUGCUCCACGUGCCCCAUGUCCCCUUCUGUGGGACCUGGGGAGAUGGAUCCCUGUGGACACAU
ensembl:snoRNA